rnacentral:rRNA from 1 species
UACAGCGCAUGUUUUAAAGAAAGAAGGUGCAACUUAAAUAAUGACUGACCUGUCUCUUUUUACGUUAGAAGGGUGGCAGGGACGUUAGAGGAUACGGGCCACCGCGGUAUACGCCGGCGGCGUGGGGCAGAAGUUGUCGCCGGCGGCGUAGAAGAGCCUUGGUUCGCGGAGGAGAGGGGAGGCGCGGCGGUGAGACUUCGGGCGGAAGAUAGGCCGUACUGGGGUUACCGGUGUAGGAGGAGGGGGUGGCGCUUGGGGGUCGGUAAGUUCAACUAGGACCCCAGAAGCAGUCACCGGUCCUUCUUGUAGGACUUGCUCUACCCCAAGCUCAAGGUUCAGUACUGGCGCCUGUAGCUGCUCUCCUCGUAUUCUUCCCUCCUAGGCCUACUCGAUCAGUACGAAGAACGCCUCCGGUUCCGACUACGAUAGUACAGAUCUUACUUGUAAAGGCUAAUGGUCUUCCUUCCGCUGGUUGGUUGUGAGGACUAGUGGAGACUGUAUCACCAACAGGUACUUCCCUAAUAAUCUCUUUUCGGUUCGUCGUUUCUUCUUCGUGCGGUUAAGGACUUUCCAAUAAGACCACGCGUACACAGUUGACACCCACCACACCAACAUUGAUUAGAAUGUUGACCGUUCUUCGAACCGUCAAAUCUGUUUCGACUCCACAUGAAGGUACUGUAUGGUCUACUCUAUUAACUCUUGGACUAGCUACUCCCCCAUCAUAAAUCCCAACGCCCGCCGGACGACGAUCUUGUAGGUAACCACAACGGCGAACAACUUCGUCACCAACCAAGAUCACUGUCACAUUACCCCGAUAGUUUCCUAGACCGUUUGUUUGAGUAAGUGCUCCGUAACAACCGUAUCGGAUCGUCAAACCCACACUAGCGGUAGCUAGCUUAGGAAUGACGUGACGUACUUCCAUUACGCUACCGCUUUUGGACAGCUUUGUACCACUAACAAUAGCAAACUUAAUAUACUUCUUAAAGUCCGUGGUACCGUGCUUCUAAGUAACUCACACGUUCUUGUGAAGUCUUGACUACGGACGAUAACACUAGUGACUACUCUACAGUGGAUGUUAGGAGGACACCUUUGUAGGACUUACAACAAGAGUGUAUUCCACUUAAACAUACUAUGCACUUUAACAAUAAAAGAGAAGACCUCAUGUAACAAUAUGUCUACGUUACUGUGGCGGAAGAACAAACGUUACCGAUGUACUUCACCGCUAACCGGAUAAGGUCAAAUGUGCCAUAACGACAAGAACCUGUUGAAACGUUCACUUACGGAUAAUAUUUUCUUUACUCUUUCGACGUGAAAUGCUUGCGGCUUGGACCGAUGUUGCGGUUAUAUCG